rnacentral:lncRNA from 1 species
UCAAAUUCCUAAAUUGAUUGCAUAACAUGAAUCUGUGGUUGCUAAAGCGCUUACAAGAUGAUAGCAGGAUAUUCCAAUUAAGGUGCAUUUGGCGAAUUUGUUGUGUACAGUUCAUUUAUAAAUUCAGUCACAUACACGAUCAAACACAUGCUCAACUUCAACACUAAGUUCACAAUCCGUUACUGGGGGAUCCUUCCUCUUCAACU